rnacentral:lncRNA from 1 species
UCUAGCUCUGUUUUAUCUUUAAUAUUGUUCAAUUUUUUUGUUUUUUUUUGUUUUUAUGUCAAAUUGAAAUCGACACUCAAACUGAGGUUCGGAGGUAGUUUUGCUACAUAUUGAGCCUCCUCUUUUUGUUUAUAAAUAUUUGCGAAGAAUUCCUUUUUGAUUGUUUUGAAACUUUUUCAUUUUCUGAAUAUGUUAAAUUGAUGGCAAUUUUUCUCUCUCGUGGGUGGUUCAUUAAACAGUCAAUUUUCAAAUUGGAUAAGAUUCCUUUUUGAAUACUCUAUUUCUUUUAAAUAUUAGGUUUUAUGAUUUGGAAAAAGGUAUUUUCUUGUUGGUAAAGAUUAGGGUUCGAGAUUAGUGUACUGGCUGAUACUCUGUUCGUUGUGUACAGGGUACUAGCAAAUAGCCAUCGAUAGGACAUUCGGGAAUCUGGGAUGACAACGGUUUCAUUUCAAAUUUUUGUCAUUAAUCUUUACCUCUGCUUUUGUUGUUACUGAAUUGAUUAUUUGACAUUUUGAAUAGUGGAUUAGGGUCUUGAGAAUGAAGUGAAUUCUUGAAGAAACAAGCUACUGCUAUUAUCUACGUCCUGUUUAUUUUGGUUCAAGAGUACGUCUGAGGCUUGCUAAGGAGAUGGAUGUUGCUAAACAUUGGUAGUUAGUUCUUUGGAAUUUGGUUGGCAGUAAGUGUGU